GUGAACAAUAUUCCACAUACAAGGACUUUUUCAGCACCAUGCAUUAGAAAUGGAAGUGAAUGUUUAUUAUUUUUUGUAUAAGUUGGUUGAUAUGGCUUUUCAGCUUCCCUCAGUAUCAUUAUCCAAAUUUUGUAGAUGACACUAAAGCUCAGAGGAGUUAAACCAUUUUCCUUAAAUCACAUAGCUUUAAAUAGGAAAACCAGAUAUGAAAAGCAGAUUUUUUUUCUAAAUUAAAAAACCAAAAACAAAAACACGUGAGCUCUUGCUUUACCCUAGCACAUAGUCUUGCCAUCUGUUUUCUCCACACCAGGUGAUUCCUGUAACAUUCAUUCACAUAACAAAUACAAAUAAAUGAGUGGAUUCAUUCAUCAGAUAUUAAUUCAGAAUCCCUUUUGUGCCUUCCAGAAAUCUGGACCAUCUCACAACCCCCAGAGAGUCUCAGCUACAAGGAACAAGUGAUAAUGCCAUCCCACUUUUAUAAACACACACACACACACAUGCAAUACACACACAAUCAUUUAAUCAUUUUUAAUUAUUUAAUUAUUUUUUAAAAAUCAGUGACACUUUAGCUGGGCAGGUCUAGAUAGGUCUUCUUUGCUGGGACGUGUCUUUUUCUGUCCUGGAAUACCCUAAACUUCACAUUUUGGCAGCGUGAGUUUUCCCUUUGUGACUUUCUCCUUCUUCCCUUUUUUCCUCCUUCUUUGCAGAGAAUGAGUAGCCACUGCACCUUGCCCUGCGCCAUCAAUGAGAAGAUCUGCUCUUAGUAGAGCCCUGCUUUCCCGCUGAAGGCCCUGAAAUCACCUGUGUUCCAGGCCACCCACUAAGGAUAAACAAAGCUUCCCUGAUAUGGGGAAUUAGCUCAAGUGGUAGAGCGCUUGCUUAGCAUGCAAGAGGUAGUGGGAUCAAUGCCCACAUUCUCCAAGCUUUAUUAUUUAGGUACCCAAACCCGAGUCAGUGUCUGAGAGCAAGACACUGCUCUCGGUGUCUUUGGUUCAAGACAUAGGAGCAGCAACAAUACAGGACUGGUGACAGCUUCCUGCUGGCAUUCAGUAUAGUGUAGAUCUACUGUGUAAUUAAUUUUCUGUUUCUUCGAGGAGCUGUGAAACCAAAGGACAUAUAAAACUGCUCUUUUCUCCCUGUUUCUGCCUGCAGCUUGGUCCUAAAUGUGAGACAAUUGUGAAAAGUGGAGGACAGAGCCACCUGGUUAAAUACAGCCCCAGCUUUCUGGUGAGAGGACUGAAACCAAGAUGUGUCAAGUAACUAGAAUGUGCCUGGACAGAUACUGUAGAAAGCAAAACCAUAAAGUUGUUCAUGAGCUUGUGGACGCACCUGCCAGCUGUGAAUAAGUGGCUCUAAUCCCGAACAACUUACCUAAAAAGAGCCUGAGAGCUGAACUGUGCAAUGGCCCACUUUCCAGUCCUCACUGACCACUGGGUUGCACACACUUUGGAGAUCUCUGAACAGCAGUGUCAAGGCUUUCAAAUAGAGUUAUCUUUGAAACGACAACACAUGAAAGUCUGGUUGGUACUUGGAGCUUAAAUACAAGGCAAUUGUGUGCCUGCAAAAACAAAAAUAGCAAUAUUAUCCUUAAGAUUUCAACAAGACACAGUGUCUCAUCACAUAAUCCAAAGAAGUCCAGGUUACAAGCCCCACAAUAUUCAGCAUUAUGAAAAAACAGGGAGAUCUUAAUUCACAUGGCAAAGAGAAUCCUCGAAUAACAAUAUUGAGAGGACACAGAUGUCAAAAUCAUCUGACACAUACAUUAAAGCAGAUAUUAUAACAAUGCUCCUAGAAUCGGGGAUAACAUUCGUGAAGUGAAUGGAAAGUUGGAAAGUCUCACCAAAUAUUUCGAAUACAUAAACACCAAUUUAAACUUAAGAAUUAAAAAAAUGUAUUAACCAAAACUCUUAGGGGAAAUAAAAAGCUUAAUUGGAGGAUCUCCAUAAUCGAAUGCAGAAGACUAAGGAAAAAGUCAAUGAACUUGAAAACAGAACACGAAUACCUACAUAAUCUGAACUAUAGAGAGAAAGGAGGAUUUUAUUGUCUCUGAACAGAGGCUCAGGCACAAAUAAAAAAUAACAAAUCCAACAUUCACAUUAUUGUAAUCUGGAAAGAAGAGGACAAAGUGGUCUUUGUGGGAUAAAACUUUGAACAAUUAAUAGCUGAAAAUGGUUCAAAUUUGUCAAAAGAUAUAAACCAGAUUUUUAAAGUUCAGUAAAUGUCAAUCAGGAUAAACCCAAAGAAACCCAUAGCAAGGCAUAUCAUAAUCAAACUGCUGAAAACUAAGAAAAUACAAAACAAUUUUGAAAGCAGCCAAAGGGAAAUGAAAGAGAAACUACCAAAUGAAUGAUUGUAGAUUUCGCAUCAGGAACCAUAGGGGCCAGAAAAAAUGUCAUAACAUUCGGAGACUACGGAAAAGAAGAGUGACUAAGAUCUCUGAAGAAGGGAAAAGCUAGAUGACUGGGCCACAAGAGGAAAAAAAGCAGCAAGACAGGUACAAUUGUUUCUGGUCCCUCAAGCCAGAAGGUCCUAUCAUUAUGUGAAUACUGGAAACGGGUGGACUCCACCUGUCCUGAGUGGGGAAUUCUUCCAGUGCAGCACUGGCUGAUAAGCAGUGAUUUCCAAGUAGCAUUGAUUGUGUUCUUUAAAAGCUAGGAAUUGAUAAAGCAGCAGUGUGUGGGAAAUGAGAUUUAAUAAUCUGGAUCUCAGCUCUUAGGAACAGUUGCUCUCUUAGAGCAGCAGGCCACCUGUCAAUCUCGUAUUCUGAAGGUCCUGAGUUUGAACAUCAGACAAGGUACAGCUUUUGCCGCUCUUUCCGUUAAGGGAAAUGAAAUAGGUGUGAUAAAUAAUGUAACACAAAUGCUAUGAGAUAAUGAUUUCAAGACAGUCCAAAUAUUAGCUUAAAAUUUAAAAAUGAGCUUUUCUUUUUUCUUUCUUUCUUUCUUUCUUUCUUUCUUUCUUUCUUUCUUUCUUUCUUCCUUUCUUCUUUCUUUCUUUCUUUCUUUCUUUCUUUCUUUCUUUCUUUCUUUUUCUCUUUUUCCUUCUUUUGGCUUCUUAGUGGUUUGAAUACAAGGCGUGGUGAAGAGAUAUAAAUUACACAAGAAACUACAAGCUAUGUCAUAUGUCUACCUCUCUAGCUGACAAGGGAAGCAGGGGAAAUUUCUCUUCCAAUUGUCUGCUCUGAAGGUCAUCCAAACAUAAUUAUCAGGUGGGGUGGGUGAACUCUUUUAUUCUUUUAAUCAUCCAACAAAUAUUUCUCAAGCGCAUACCUUGUUAAGAGACUGUUUUGGGUACAGUAAUUCACAGUGAAUAAAACACAGAUAUUCUCACCUUUGUGAUACUACGUCAUAGUUGCAAGGAGUGGGGAGAAACAGACAGGAAGCAAAGAAGAAAAAUAAACAAGAAGUCAUGUGAUAAUAUCUACUGGGAGGGACUCAUUAGGCAGUAAAGGACUCGGCAGUGUGGAGGUGACACAUUCAGUUUUCAGUAGAAGAAUCAGGGAAGUUGUCACUUUGAAGCUAUCAUUUAGCUUCCCUUUCUUUCAAUCUUCUUUCUUUACAUGGGAAAUAAGGAUUGUGGGAUAUUUUUGGGUGGAUCACAGCACCUAGAGAUGGACCUGAUCAAUAAGAACUGCUCAGUAAGCAUUAGCUACUGCUUCGGUUGCCUUCCCCCUGUGGAGUGCUGGCCUCUUGGAUUGAGCUUGCAUCAUAGGUGUUCAGUAGGAGCUUGCUUAGUGGAUUUAUAGGUUGAGGUUAGAACCCACUGGAAUUCUCUUCCUGGAAAGAACAGGCUUCUCUUUAAGGUUUCAUACAGACCCUGGUUGAGGAAAGAGCCCUAAAUUGCUUGAAAAAUUGAAUGCUCUAUGGGCAAAGCAGGAAGCCCUCCUAUGGAAGGGCAUCAUUUGGGCAUAUAUCAGGGUCUCAGUAAAAACAUGAGUGCUCAGGAAGUCAAGAUGGUUAAGCAGAGAAUCUGACCAGAAUGUUCAUGGUGCGAAGAAAUAAUCUUGUUGGGUGUAGGAUUACAACAACUGGGAAAUUAGAAUACAGGCUAAAUGAGAUUCAAAAAUAAUACAACAAGAAUCAGGCACAAAUCCUUUACUACUACAUUCUUUUGUACAAAUCCAUUUUGCCUAGAAAAUCGUACCUUACUAUACAUCCCUAUUGUGUUUCUCCACCAUCUAUUUUACUUUUUAAACUUUAUUUCAUUUUUGUCAUCACAGAAGCUUGUUGCUACAAAAUAAAUGAGCAAAUCAGCCAAUGGCAACAAAGCUGCACUGAUCUCUCUCCUUAGACCUUCAGAACAUUUUCCUUAAAGGUGAACAAUACUCCACGUUCAAGGACUUUUUCAGCACUAUGUGCUAGAAACUAUGCUGACUGUUUAUUAAUUUUUAUGUAAGUUGGUCGAUAUAGUUUCUCAGCUUCCCCAAGUAUUAUUACCACAGUACUAUAGAUGACACUGAAGCUCAGAGCAGUUAAACCAUUUUCCUCAGAUCACAUAACUUUAAAGAGGGAAACCAGAUAUGGGAAGCAGAUUUCUUUCUAAAUGAAAAAAUCAUGAGCUCUUGCUUUCACUUAGCACAUAGUCUCAUCAUCUGUUUUCUUCACACCAGCUCACUCAUGUAACAUUCAUUCAUUUACCAAAUACAGAUAAAUGAGUGGAUUUAUUCUUGCUUUCAUCAGAUACUAAUUCAAAAUCGCUUCUGUGUCUGCUACACUGUGCUCAAGACUUGCCAGUGCCUUUGUCUCCUCUCCCUCAAAUCUCUCCACCCAAUGUCUUGACAAAUACUGUAGAUUCUUCCUGCAUAACCUCUCCAGAAUCUUUUCCUUCUGUUAUCCAUGCUACAGUGUUUAUGGAGGAUGUUUUCUUCACCUAUGAAGUGUGAUGGGGGCUGAAGCUGCAGCAAGACUCAUGCUGUUCACCUCAGGAGCUGACACAGUAAAUGUGGAUAAACCUCAAUCCUUUAAUAUCUUUAUGACUUCUUUCCCAGUUACCCCAGCGAAUUUACAGAUUGAGGUUAAAACCACAACAGGAUUAUCUUCCUGGAAAGAAUAGGCUUCCCUUUAAGGUUUCACAUAGAUACUGGGUGAGGAAGGAGCCCUAAAUUGCUUGAAAAAUUGAAUGCUCUUUGGGCAAAGCAGGAAGCCUUGCUAUGGAAGAGCAUCAUUUGAACAUAAAUCAGAGUCUCAGUACAAACAGAGUGCUCAGGACAUCAAGAUGGUUAACCAGAGAGCCUGGCCAGAAUAUCUGCGGUGGAGAGAAACGAUCUUGUUGGGAGAAGGAUGACAAUAAUUGGGGACUUAGAAUAAAGGCUAAAAAUGAUUCAAAGAGAAUGCAAAAAGAAUCAGGCACACAUCCUUUACUCUGUUGUGCAAAUCUCACCUUACUGUGUGUUUGUAUUCUAUUCCUCCACAAUCUUUAUUUUAUUUUAUUUUUAUGUUCACAGAGAUUUGUUGGUGCCAACUAAAUGAGCCCAACAGCCAGUGACAACAGAACUGCACUAAAAAAAGUCCCUCAUCAGCUCUUGAGAGCAGGUUCCUUAAAGGUGAACAAUAUUCCACAUACAAGGACUUUUUCAGCACCAUGCAUUAGAAAUGGAAGUGAAUGUUUAUUAUUUUUUGUAUAAGUUGGUUGAUACGGCUUUUCAGCUUCCCUCAGUAUCAUUAUCCAAAUUUUGUAGAUGACACUAAAGCUCAGAGGAGUUAAACCAUUUUCCUCAAAUCACAUAGUUUUAAAUAGGAAAACCAGAUAUGAAAAGCAGAUUUUUUUCUAAAUUAAAAAAAAAAAAAAAACUUGAGCUCUUGCUUUACCCUAGCACAUAGUCUCACCAUCUGUUUUCUCCAUGCCAGGUCAUUCAUGUAACAUUCAUUCACAUAACAAAUACAAAUAAAUGAGUGGAUUCAUUCAUCAGCUAUUAAUUCAGAAUCUCUUUUGUGUCUACCACACUAGGCUCAAGACUUCCCAGUGUCUUUGUCUCCUCUCCCUCAAAUCUCUCCACCCAAUGUCUUGACAAAUACUGUAGAUCCUUCCUGCACAGCAUCACCAGAAUGUUUUUCUUUCUUUUCAUUCACCUCUGUCAUCAUCCAUGCUAUGGUGUUUAUGGAGGAUGUAUUCUGCAGCAGGAAGUGUGAUGGGCACUGACGCUGCAGAAAGACUCCUGUUGUCCACCUCGGGAGCUGACACGAUAAAUGCGGACAAUGAGUAGCCACUGCUGUUUGCCCUGGCCCAUCAAUGAGAAGAUCUGCUCUUAGAGCCCUGCUUUCCUGCUGAAGGCCCUGAAAUCACCUGUGUUCCAGGCCACCUGCUAACAAUAAAUAAUGCUGCCCUGAUGUGGGGAAUUAGCUCAAGUGGUAGAGCGCUUGCUUAGCACGCAAGAGGUAGUGGGAUCGAUGCCCACAUUCUCCAAGCUUUAUUAUUUAGACAUCGUGUCUCCAAACACUCAGGUCUCCAAACCCAAGUUAGUGUCUGAGAACAGGAUGCUGCUUUGGUUCAAGACGUAGGAGCAGCAAUAAUAGAGGGCUGGUGAUGGCUCCCUCUUGGCAUUCAGUAUAGUGUAGAUCUACCAUGUAAUUAAUUCUCUGUUUCUUUGAGGAGCUGUGAAACCAAGGGACAUAUACAACUGCUCUUUUCUCCCUGUUUCUACCUGCAGCUUUGUCCUAAAUGUGAGACAAUUAUGAAAAGUGCAGCGCAGAGCCACUUGGGUAAAUACAGCCCCGGCUUUCUGCUCAGGGGACAGAGUUUGAGGCACUGCAGAGGAACCGGCCAAAGUAUGAGACCCAUAUAUUGAGAGUAACAGAGUGUAAAGUUCAAAAAAAUCAAAAUAUUUAAAGAUUUAUCAUGGGUCUUGAUGACAUGAUGGAAUCUCUCUACUCUCUGGACUUAUUAUGUGUGGUAAUAAAUUUACUUUUUAAAAGCCAGUUGAGUGUUUUUAAUGUUGUGGAGCUAUUGCUAAGAGUUUCCUGAGUUUUUUCCAGUAAUGUAGAGAUCUUUGUGCUAAAUAUUUCAUAAAGAAGUUUGG
rnacentral:tRNA from 10 species